rnacentral:rRNA from 1 species
UUUGUAUAAUGGGUCAGCGACUUAUAUUCAGUGGCAAGGUUAACCAUCUAGGGGAGCCGUAGGGAAACCGAGUCUUAACUGGGCGUUCAGUCUCUGGAUAUAGACCCGAAACCAGGUGAUCUAGCCAUGGGCAGGUUGAAGGUUGAGUAACAUCAACUGGAGGACCGAACCGACUAAUGUUGAAAAAUUAGCGGAUGACUUGUGGCUAGGGGUGAAAGGCCAAUCAAACCUGGAGAUAGCUGGUUCUCCCCGAAAGCUAUUUAGGUAGCGCCUCGGACGAAUACUACUGGGGGUAGAGCACUGUUAAGGCUAGGGGGUCAUCCCGACUUACCAACCCUUUGCAAACUCCGAAUACCAGUAAGUACUAUCCGGGAGACACACGGCGGGUGCUAACGUCCGUCGUGGAGAGGGAAACAACCCAGACCGCCAGCUAAGGUCCCAAAUUACUACUAAGUGGGAAACGAUGUGGGAAGGCUCAGACAGCCAGGAUGUUGGCUUAGAAGCAGCCAUCAUUUAAAGAAAGCGUAAUAGCUCACUGGUCGAGUCGGCCUGCGCGGAAGAUGUAACGGGGCUAAGUAGUAAACCGAAGCUGCGGCAAUAUACUUUUGUAUAUUGGGUAGGGGAGCGUUCUGUAAGCGGUUGAAGGUGUGUGGUAACGCAUGCUGGACGUAUCAGAAGUGCGAAUGCUGACAUGAGUAACGAUAAAGGGGGUGAAAAACCUCCUCGCCGGAAGACCAAGGGUUCCUGUCCAACGUUAAUCGGGGCAGGGUAAGUCGACCCCUAAGGCGAGGCCGAAAGGCGUAGUCGAUGGGAAACGGGUUAAUAUUCCCGUACUUCUUACAAUUGCGAUGGGGGGACGGAGAAGGCUAGGUGGGCCUGGCGACGGUUGUCCAGGUUCAAGUGCGUAGGCUUAAGAGUUAGGUAAAUCCGGCUCUUUUUAAGGCUGAGACACGACGUCGAGCAUCUACGGAUGUGAAGUCAUUGAUGCCAUGCUUCCAGGAAAAGCCUCUAAGCUUCAGAUUGUAAGGAAUCGUACCCCAAACCGACACAGGUGGUCGGGUAGAGAAUACCAAGGCGCUUGAGAGAACUCGGGUGAAGGAACUAGGCAAAAUGGUACCGUAACUUCGGGAGAAGGUACGCUCUCGACGGUGAAGUCCCUCGCGGAUGGAGCUAUUGAGAGUCGCAGAUACCAGGUGGCUGCAACUGUUUAUUAAAAACACAGCACUGUGCAAAAUCGUAAGAUGACGUAUACGGUGUGACGCCUGCCCGGUGCCGGAAGGUUAAUUGAUGGGGUUAGACUUCGGUCGAAGCUCUUGAUCGAAGCCCCGGUAAACGGCGGCCGUAACUAUAACGGUCCUAAGGUAGCGAAAUUCCUUGUCGGGUAAGUUCCGACCUGCACGAAUGGCGUAAUGAUGGCCACGCUGUCUCCACCCGAGACUCAGUGAAAUUGAAAUCGCUGUGAAGAUGCAGUGUACCCGCGGCUAGACGGAAAGACCCCGUGAACCUUUACUACAGCUUGGCACUGAACAUUGACCCUACAUGUGUAGGAUAGGUGGGAGGCUUUGAAGCACGUACGCCAGUAUGUGUGGAGCCGUCCUUGAAAUACCACCCUUGUAGUGUUGAUGUUCUAACGUCGACCCCUAAUCGGGGUUGCGGACAGUGCCUGGUGGGUAGUUUGACUGGGGCGGUCUCCUCCCAAAGAGUAACGGAGGAGCACGAAGGUGGGCUAAUCACGGUUGGACAUCGUGAGGUUAGUGCAAUGGCAUAAGCCCGCUUGACUGCGAGAAUGACAAUUCGAGCAGGUGCGAAAGCAGGUCAUAGUGAUCCGGUGGUUCUGAAUGGAAGGGCCAUCGCUCAACGGAUAAAAGGUACUCCGGGGAUAACAGGCUGAUACCGCCCAAGAGUUCAUAUCGACGGCGGUGUUUGGCACCUCGAUGUCGGCUCAUCACAUCCUGGGGCUGAAGUCGGUCCCAAGGGUAUGGCUGUUCGCCAUUUAAAGUGGUACGCGAGCUGGGUUUAGAACGUCGUGAGACAGUUCGGUCCCUAUCUGCCGUGGGCGUUGGAAGAUUGAAGGGGGCUGCUCCUAGUACGAGAGGACCGGAGUGGACGAACCUCUGGUGUUCGGGUUGUGUCGCCAGACGCAUUGCCCGGUAGCUAAGUUCGGAAUCGAUAACCGCUGAAAGCAUCUAAGCGGGAAGCGAGCCCUGAGAUGAGUCUUCCCUGAUACUUUAAGUAUCCUAAAGGGUUGUCGGA